rnacentral:rRNA from 1 species
ACGGAAGGCAGCAGUGAGGAAUAUUGGACAAUGGGGGCAACCCUGAUCUAGCCAAACCGCGUGAGGGAUGAAGGUCCUACGGAUCGUAAACCUCUUUUAUGUGGGAAUAAUUAGCGGAACGUGUUCUGCUUUGACGGUACCACUUGAAUAAGCAUCGGCUAACUCCGUGCCAGCAGCCGCGGUAAUACGGAGGAUGCAGGCGUUAUCCGGAUUUAUUAGGUUUAAAGGGUGCGCAGGCGGGACAUUAAGUCGGCGGUGAAAUACCGUGGCCCAACUACGGGGCUGCCGUCGAUACUGAUGACCUAGAGUGCGUGUGACGUAGGCGGAAUGUGGAGUGUAGCGGUGAAAUGCUUAGAUAUUCCACAGAACACCGAUUGCGAAGGCAGCCUACGAAUGCGUAACUGACGCUCAUGCACGAAAGCGCGGGUAGCGAACAGGAUUAGAUACCCUGGUA